UGUUGGUGGCUUAACGGAGAGGGUACACCCGAUCCCAUUCCGAACUCGGAAGUUAAGCUCUCAAGUGGCGAUGAUACUCCUUCGGGGGAAAGUAGCUA
rnacentral:rRNA from 1 species